AUGUGCAGCAACAGCUAUGGUCGCGGGUGGCGGAGGCGCGUCGUUGGAGGAGGAAGGCCAUGGCAGAGGAGGGGCUGCGUGGAGCAGGCCCAGAGUGGGACGGAGACGGGGGGUUCAAGGCGAAGGUCGCCGGAUCUAACUAGGAACUUGGCCGGAGCGGCAGCCUUGCUGUGGUCUGGGACGGCGUGGCUCGCCGUUGACGAGGAAGAAGCAGGGCGCCGGACUGUAGCAGGGGCUGCUAGAGGCUGGGAGCUCAGCGGCAGCGGCCAUGGGGGUUUGGGCACGGGGAAACGGGAAUAG
rnacentral:rRNA from 1 species